UGAUGUUCUCAGAAUGUUGCAAGGAUCAGCACCUCAGUUGCCCUUCUGCUCAAAACAUCAUGAAAGGGAGAGUCCGGCUUAUGUCACCCAGAGGUAAAAACAUGUAUUCACAGGAGGGGAAAAAAAGGAGGCUGUGUUCCCGAAAAUAUCUUUACGGCCUCCCUACUCGUCCAAAUAAUCAAGAAAGACCCAGCUGUUCAGCCAGAACAUGUUGAAAUAUUUUGCAUUCCUGUCGAACUCCCUCCUGUAAUCUGUAACGGCACCAAUUUGUGUUUUCCAAAAUCUCUAACGCCUUUCUUGUUACGUAAAUCGAAUAAACCGCUUAAAGGCU